GAUGAACGCUGGCGGCGUGCCUAAUACAUGCAAGUCGAGCGAACGGACGAGAAGCUUGCUUCUCUGAUGUUAGCGGCGGACGGGUGAGUAACACGUGGAUAACCUACCUAUAAGACUGGGAUAACUUCGGGAAACCGGAGCUAAUACCGGAUAAUAUUUUGAACCGCAUGGUUCAAAAGUGAAAGACGGUCUUGCUGUCACUUAUAGAUGGAUCCGCGCUGCAUUAGCUAGUUGGUAAGGUAACGGCUUACCAAGGCAACGAUGCAUAGCCGACCUGAGAGGGGGAUAGGCCACAAUGGAAGUGAGACACGGUCGAGAAGCCUACGGGAGGCAGCAGGGGGGAAGAUUAGGCAAUGGGCGAAAGCGUGAAGGAGCAAUGCCGAGGGAGUGAAGAAGGUAUUAGGAUUGUAAAAAACUUUAAGUAGGGAAGAACAAAAGGAUAAGAAACCAUGCACGGCUUGACGGGACCGAAUCAGAAAGCAACGGCGAACUUCGUG
rnacentral:rRNA from 1 species